GCGGGGGUUGCCGAGUGGACAAAGGCGUUGGAUUCAGGGUCCAAUCCCGUAGGGGUUCGAGGGUUCGAAUCCCUCCCCCCGCA
rnacentral:tRNA from 1 species